ensembl:lncRNA
UUUUUUUUUAAGUUCAAACUCCAUAAGGUGAUGGGGAUUUUUUUUUUUUUUUUUGCAUAGUUUGUCCAAGGCUUCUUAUUUGAAGUAUGUUUUAUUUUUAUAGUAUAAAAUAGAAUUAGAAUUCAUUUAGAUAUUAAUUAUACACUAUUUGCUUAAAGUUGUCUUGUGCGAAAUACAGCCAAUAGUUUAAGAUUGUUUUAAGUUUGUACAUAAAGAAAUGAUUAAUUCAUCAACUCAUUCAUCACAAGACUUGUACUGGCCAUACUGGCAAAUGACUUCUCACCGGUGAUUCCUGAUGGUUUUAGAGGACAAUGGAGAACGCGACAAGUAUAAAAGCCUCAUCCGUUCGGGAAGGUGCGCUCGCAGUCAGCGGAGCCAGGCGAAAGUAUAAAUCCUGCUUUGCUUUGUUUGUUGUCAUCUUCUUAAUAAUGCCGCGAGGAAGUGACGUUGGUCGCAUCUGCACAGUAGGACCUGAUGCAGCCCUGAAGUGAGAUGCAGGAAACAGAAAUACUGCAAAAUAAUAAUAAUAAUAAUAACGUGACUAAAUGAGACGAAAUAACGUUAUAACAUUUUGUUUCGUCAAGUUUUCGUCAACGAAAAUGAAGAGACAUUUUAGCAUAGUUUUUAUUUUGUAAACCACAUUUAGUCUCAUUUUUAUUCGUCAACAAUAUUGCAUUAUACAUUUAAUUAUAGUCAUUGUCACAUGACCAGCAUUUACGUUGCGUCUCGUCUCAUUUUCGUCACGUUAUAAAGGUUCGUUGACGAUGAUAUUUAGUCAUAAUUUUCACUGACGAAAGCAACACUACUUCACACUGAAUGAACUAGCAGUACUUUUAUAUCAUUACACGAAACCCCUUCUGAUCAUCACUGAUAAAACUUUUAUUUCUCUGAAUCAGAUCUGUCAAAUUGUGUUUAUUUUCAUAUUUCUGCUCUUGAUUUUUACUUUAUUCUGUUAUGGUUGAUUUCUUUCAUUUACAGGUCUGUUUAGAUGUUUUAUCUGUUUGAAGAUCUUGAUCUGUUUCUCAGGUUUUGCUGUCUGUGGUUUUGCUUAAAUUUGCAGUUGACUUUUAACACAUAUAACUACAUUCAUGCAUUAUUCUUCACAAGAUAUUUGCAUCAUAGAAGACUGCUAAACAUGUCCUUCUUUAGACAUUGUAAAUGGGGUCAUUGCUGA